CACAGUCUUCAAUAUUUUUUAUUGUACCACAAACAUUCCUAAUUUUUUUAAUCCAUUCUUAUUUACUAACUCUCAGUAGUUAACAUAUCUUGUAUUUAAUAAUGGUUAUGGGCCAAAAAAUCUGUUGGAAUAUUAAGUAUUAAUUAAAAAAAAUGUCUUGCAUUUACUAUUAUUGUUUGAACAUAAGUCCAGCAAUUCUAGCAACACAUCAAGCGUAACAAAAGAAGUUAAAAACAAAAGGCGCUGUGAAAAAGGAAAACAACGUGGAAUUCAACUCCUUCUCUAUGCAAAUCAAUCGUGUUCAGAAAAAUCAGAAAAUCAAACCCACAAAUACUGAAGAAAAACUCCUCCAAAUCGAUUAAUGAAAUUCAAUAAUAUAGAAUCCAGUUAAUAAUAAUAAUAAUAAUAAUAAUAAUAAUAAUAAUAAUAAUAAUAAUAAUAAUAAUAAUAAUUAAAUUAAAGAGUAAAAAAUAUUAAAAUUUGAGAGAAACCUGGCCUUUGACUUUGAGAUUGAAGUGAACCGACGGAUCACCGGGCUUCUUGUCUUCCUCUUGACCGGGAGUUGACAUUUUCACCGUCCCGACGAUUCGCCGUUCGAAAAGAAAAAUUCGUGCCCGCACGAUU
rnacentral:lncRNA from 1 species